CACGGAGUUAGUCGGUGCUUAUUCUGCAGGUACCGUCAUCGCAUUACACGUAAUGCUUAUUCCUCCCUGUCAAAAGCAGUUUACGACUCAGAAAGCCUUCUUCCUGCACGCGGCAUGGCUGGGUCAGGCUCUCGCCCAUUGCCCAAUAUUCCCUACUGCUGCCUCCCGUAGGAGUCGGGCCCGUAUCUCAGUGCCCGUGUGGGGGACCAGCCUCUCAGCUCCCCUAGUCAUCGUCGCCUUGGUAAGCCGUUACCUUAUCAACUAGCUAAUGACCCGCAACCCCAUCUAUAACCAAUAAAUCUUUACUAAGCAAGUGAUGCCACUCGCAGAGCUUAUGCGGUAUUAAUCCGCCUUUCGGCGGGCUAUCCCCCAGUUAUAGGUAGGUUAGUUACGUGUUACGCACCCGUGCGCCACUAUCUGUAUUGCUACAAACCGUUCGACUUGCAUGUAUUAGGCCUGCCGCUAGCGUUCAUCCUGAGCCAGGAUCAAACUCU
rnacentral:rRNA from 1 species